rnacentral:rRNA from 1 species
GAUAAGUAAUGUGAAUUGCAGAAUUCAGUGAAUCAUCGAAUCUUUGAACGCACCUUGCGCUCCUUGGUAUUCCGAGGAGCAUGCCUGUUUGAGUGUCUU